CCUACGGGUGGCAGCAGUAGGGAAUCUUGCACAAUGGGCGAAAGCCUGAUGCAGCAACGCCGCGUGCAGGAUGAAGGCCUUCGGAUUGUAAACUGCUUUUGUUAGAGAGGAUAAUGACGGUAACUAACGAAUAAGGAUCGGCUAACUACGUGCCAGCAGCCGCGGUCAUACGUAGGGUCCGAGCAUUACCCGGAGUGACUGGGCGUAAAGAGUGGCGUGGGUGGCGAAAUAAUUAGCUGUUGAAAACUGGUGGGUCAACCAUUCAGACUAUUAGCGAAACUGUUAUGCUAGAGAACGUGAGAGGUAAGUGGAAUUUUUGGUGUAGGGGUGAAAUCCGUAGAGAUUAGGAGGAAUACUCAUAGCGAAGGCAGGCUACUGGGAC
rnacentral:rRNA from 1 species